GUGUGUUUUCCUUAGCCUGGAGUCAUUUUGAGAGGUAAAAAAUUGAUUUGACUAGUUCUUUAACACAUCUAGCAAAUCAUUUUUUACUCUCCAAAAAGAACUCCAAACUUGCUAAAGAAGGGAA
rnacentral:precursor_RNA from 8 species